rnacentral:rRNA from 2 species
UGCAGAAUCCCGUGAACCAUCGAGUCUUUGAACGCAAGUUGCGCCCUAAGCCAUUUGGCCGAGGGCACGUCUGCCUGGGCGUCAAUCAUCUAUUCGUCACCCAACCUCCGCUCCCCGAAAAGGAGCUUUGGUCCCGGGUACGGAAGUUGGCCUCCCGUGCUCUUGAAGCGCGGCUGGCCUAAAACUGAGCAUCGGACUGAUGAUCUCCGAGGCACGCGGUGGUUGUUCAUUCCUCCCUCGUGACGUUGCCAAGGAGCGUCUCCCGUACGAAGCUCCACGACCCUAGAUUUACUAUCGAUGCGACCCCAGGUCAGGCGGGGCCACCCGCUGAAUUUAAGCAUAUCAAUAAGCGGAGGAAAAGAAACUAACAAGGAUUCCCCUAGUAGCGGCGAGCGAACCGGGAAAUGCCCACCAUGAAAAUCGAGCUCCUUUGGUGCUCGA